UCGUUGUCAACACCGCACAAGAGCUCAAGGUCAACAGAUGCUGCAAAGAGUGAAUGAUCAGUGAUCAAUAUAGCUCUCUCUUUCAUAACAGAAUUUUAAUAGUUUGAUUUUCUUAUGCUUCAUCCAAGUUUUUCUUCAUGUUUGAAGCUUGAUUUGCUGAUGUAAUGAUUCAUUUGUCCGGCUGAGAUUUUGCUGAGUGCAA
rnacentral:lncRNA from 1 species